rnacentral:rRNA from 1 species
GAUGAACGCUGGCGGCGUGCCUAAUACAUGCCAGUCGAGCGAACGGACGAGAAGCUUGCUUCUCUGAUGUUAGCGGCGGACGGGUGAGUAACACGUGGAUAACCUACCUAUAAGACUGGGAUAACUUCGGGAAACCGGAGCUAAUAACGGAUAAUAUUUUGAACCGCAUGGUUCAAAAGUGAAAGACGGUCUUGCUGUCACUUAUAGAUGGAUCCGCGCUGCAUUAGCUAGUUGGUAAGGUAACGGCUUACCAAGGCAACGAUGCAUAGCCGACCUGAGAGGGUGAUCGGCCACACUGGAACUGAGACACGGUCCAGACUCCUACGGGAGGCAGCAGUGGGGAAUCUUGGACAAUGGGCGAAAGCCUGAUCGAGCAACGCCGCGUGGGUGAAGAAGGCCUUCGGGUUGUAAAACCCUUUUAUUGGGGAAGAAAAGAAGUGGGAUAAACCGUCGCUGUUCUGACGGUACCCAAAGAAAAAGCCCCGGCUAACUACGUG